rnacentral:rRNA from 1 species
UACGUAGGGCGCAAGCGUUGUCCGGAAUUAUUGGGCGUAAAGAGCUCGUAGGCGGUUUGUCGCGUCUGCUGUGAAAACCUAAGGCUCAACCUUGGGCUUGCAGUGGGUACGGGCAGACUAGAGUGCGGAAGGGGUGACUGGAAUUCCUGGUGUAGCGGUGGAAUGCGCAGAUAUCAGGAGGAACACCGAUGGCGAAGGCAGGUCACUGGGCCGCAACUGACGCUGAGGUGCGAAAGCGUGGGGAGCAAACAGG